rnacentral:rRNA from 1 species
AAAAAGCUCGUAGUUGGAUUUCUGGUGGGAGCGAUCGGUCUGGGGCUUAGCGCGAGUACUUGCAUCGUCUCCGGCCAUCCUUGGGGAGAGUCUGUCUGGCAUUAAGUUGUCGGGCAGAGGAUCCUCAUCGUUUACUGUGAAAAAAUUAGAGUGUUCAAAGCAGGCUUAUGCCGUUGAAUAUAUUAGCAUGGAAUAAUAAGAUAGGACUUUGGUACUAUUUUGUUGGUUUGCGCACCAAAGUAAUGAUUAAUAGGGACAGUUGGGGGUAUUCGUAUUCCGUUGUCAAAGGUGAAAUUCUUGGAUUUACGGAAAACAAACUACUGCAAAAGCAUUUACCAAGGAUGUUUUCAUUAAUCAAAAACGAAAGUUAGGGGAUCGAAAAUGAUCAAAUACCAUCGUAUUCUUAACCAUAAACUAUGCCGACUCGGGAUUGGCGGGCGUUUCUUUUUUGACCCCGUCAGCACCGUAUGUGAAAACAAAGUCUUUGGGUUCCGGGGGGAGUAUGGUCGCAAGGCUGAAACUUAAAGAAAUUGACGGAAGGGCACCACCAGAAGUGGAACCUGCGGCUUAUUUUGACUCAACACGGGAAAACUUACCAGGUCCA